AUUAAACGCUGGCGGCAUGCCUUACACAUGCAAGUCGAACGGCAGCACGGGGGCAACCCUGGUGGCGAGUGGCGGACGGGUGAGUAAAGCAUCGGAACGUAUCCUGGAGUGGGGGAUAACGUAGCGAAAGUUACGCUAAUACCGCAUAUUCUGUGAGCAGGAAAGCAGGGGAUCGCAAGACCUUGCGCUCUGGGAGCGGCCGAUGUCGGAUUAGCUAGUUGGUGGGGUAAAGGCCUACCAAGGCGACGAUCCGUAGCGGGUCUGAGAGGAUGAUCCGCCACACUGGGACUGAGACACGGCCCAGACUCCUACGGGAGGCAGCAGUGGGGAAUUUUUGGACAAUGGGCGGAAGCCUGAUCCAGCCAUGCCGCGUGAGUGAAGAAGGCCUUCGGGUUGGUUAAAGGACGUCUUUUCGGUCCGGGGGAAGGAAAGUUAGCACGGGUUAAGUAACCC
rnacentral:rRNA from 1 species